rnacentral:rRNA from 1 species
UACAGAGGGUGCAAAUGUUGCUCGGAAUCAUUGGGCGUAAAGCGCGCGCAGGCGGCUUGGCGCGCCCGACGUGAAAGCCCCCGGCUUAACCGGGGAGGGUCGUCGGGUACGGCCAGGCUUGAGGGCGGGAGAGGGUGGUGGAAUUCCCGGUGUAGUGGUGAAAUGCGUAGAGAUCGGGAGGAACACCUGUGGCGAAGGCGGCCACCUGGGCCGACCCUGACGCUGAGGCGCGAAGGCGUGGGGAGCGAACGGG